rnacentral:rRNA from 1 species
CCUACGGGUGGCAACAGUGAGGAAUAUUGGUCAAUGGACGAGAGUCUGAACCAGCCAAGUAGCGUGAAGGAUGACUGCCCUAUGGGUUGUAAACUUCUUUUAUAUGGGAAUACAAUGUUUCACGUGUGGGAUUUUGUAUUUACCAUAUGAAUAAGGAUCGCCUAAUUCCGGGCCAGCAGCCGCGGUAAUACGGAGGUUCCGAGCGUUAUCCGGAUUUAUUGGGUUUAAAGGGAGCGUAGGUGGAUUGUUAAGUCAGCUGUGAAAGUUUGCGGUUCAACCGUAAAAUUGAAGUUGAAAAUGGCGGUCUUGAGUACAGUAGAGGUGGGCGGAAUUCGUGGUGUAGCGGUGAAAUGCUUAGAUAUCACGAAGAACUCCGAUUGCGAAGGCAGCUCACUGGACUGCAACUGACACUGAGGCUCGAAAGUGUGGGUAUCAAACAGGAUUAGAUACCCGUGUAGUC